GCUCCUCCGUCUGGACCAUGGACAGGCGGUGGGAGCGCAUCUCCGACACCAUCCCCAGGAUGUCGGCGAACUCGUGCUCCCGGAUGUGCUGCAUCAGGCGGUCCAGGGCCAUGAAGGAAUGUAGUUGGCGUUGAUGUAGUCGGCGCCUUCGUCGUCGUGCAUGGAGAUCAGCCGGACGCGACUGAAGUCGUCUGGCCAGGAACAAACAUGCGGCUCGGUCACUUGUGCUUCAGCUGCACGAUGGGAGACGCCGUUGCAGAUUUGCCCAGUGCCUUGAGGACCUUCGCUACCCGGUAAGAUUGUAUUCCUCUUUUUUAGGGAGUGGGACAAAAGUGGGUCACCACGUCGGCAAUUGGGCUUCAAAAUGAAGGGAUUUGAAUUGUUUCAAUGGGUUCCGUUUGUUUUUUUGAACUUGAAAUGAUGUCCAAAGGGGCCAAUGGGACUUCUUUUUAUUUCACUUUAUUUUGAUGUGAUUUUUCAAUGAAUGGAAAACAUCAUGGAGGGUUGAGUGAAAGUAACGUCAACUUAGUCAAAGUCAAGUGAGUGGCAGGCCU